CUGCCCAUCAAGCCCGGCUUGUGUGUUGGGUCGUCGUCCCCCCGGGGGACGGGCCCGAAAGGCAGCGGCGGCACCGUGUCCGGUCCUCGAGCGUAUGGGGCUUUGUCACCCGCUCGAUUAGGGCCGGCCGGGCGCCAGCCGACGUCUCCAACCAUUUUCUUCA
rnacentral:misc_RNA from 1 species